rnacentral:rRNA from 1 species
ACUCCUACGGGAGGCAGCAGUGGGGAAUAUUGCACAAUGGGCGCAAGCCUGAUGCAGCCAUGCCGCGUGUAUGAAGAAGGCCUUCGGGUUGUAAAGUACUUUCAGCAGUGAGGAAGGUGGAUAUGUUAUAGUACAUAUUCAUUGAUCGAUUUGAGCUUGCAGAAGAAGACACCGCGUAACUCCGUGCCAGCAGCCGCGGUAAUACGGAGGGUGCGAGCGUUAAUCGGAAUUACUGGGCGUAAAGCGCAUGCAGGUGGUUUGUUAAGUCAGAUGUGAAAGCCCGGGGCUCAACCUCGGAAUUGCAUUUGAAACUGGCAAACUAGAGUACUGUAGAGGGGGGUAGAAUUUCAGGUGUAGCGGUGAAAUGCGUAGAGAUCUGAAGGAAUACCGGUGGCGAAGGCGGCCCCCUGGACAGAUACUGACACUCAGAUGCGAAAGCGUGGGGAGCAAACAGGAUUAGAUACCCUGGUAGCUACGAGU